rnacentral:rRNA from 1 species
CAGAGGUCCCAAGCGUUGUUCGGAUUCACGUGGGCGUAAAGGGUGCGUAGGUGGCGAGGUAAGUCGGAUGUGAAAUCUCCAAGCUCAACUUGGAAAUGGCAUUGGAAACUACCUUGCUAGAGGUUUGGAGGGGGGACUGGAAUUCUCGGUGUAGCAGUGAAAUGCGUAGAUAUCGAGAGGAACACCAGUGGCGAAGGCGAGUCCCUGGACAACACCUGACACUGAGGCAACGAAAGCUAGGGGGAGCAAAACGAGGAUUAGACUACCCUGGUAGUCCUAGCCGUAAACGGUGCUUGCUUGCUGUAAAGGAAUCGACCCCUUUGUGGCGAAGCCAACGCGUUAAGCAAGCCGCCUGGGAAGUACGGUCGCAAGAUUA